rnacentral:ncRNA from 1 species
GUGCCUCAGGUUUGUGGUUGAAAGUCGAUGCCAGAUGCAGGCGAAGCGAUCCACGUAAGACAAUUUAAAAGCAAAUUGUUGAUCAUGGUGCGUCUUAGAAGUAAGUCCAGCCGGCGAAAGCCGAGAGAAGGAGUUGUGAUGCUAACACUGAGCUAAACUUCCUGUUGGCGAGUGUGGGGGAAAAGACCAGGUCAACUGAGGCAA